rnacentral:rRNA from 1 species
UACGUAGGGUGCAAGCGUUAAUCGGAAUUACUGGGCGUAAAGCGUGCGCAGGCGGUGAUGUAAGACAGUUGUGAAAUCCCCGGGCUCAACCUGGGAACUGCAUCUGUGACUGCAUCGCUGGAGUGCGGCAGAGGGGGGAUGGAAUUCCGCGUGUAGCAGUGAAAUGCGUAGAUAUGCGGAGGAACACCGAUGGCGAAGGCAAUCCCCUGGGCCUGCACUGACGCUCAUGCCACGAAAGCGUGGGGAGCAAACAGG